UUUGGUGAAAAACAUCGGAAAAAUCCUCGUCAAAACUCGAAUGUAUGUGGGCCGUCUGAUCCGAAACUCCAUUUUCUGGAAACUACUUCCCUGUCCCCUUCCAAACCUUUUGCCUUCAAAUUUCUUUAUAAUUGUAAUCUACACCAUUUGAAAGGUAUUUAUAUAAAAUUUCCUUAGCAGUUGCCUAUUUUCCAGAAAGUUGUGAGGUGGGAAAAUGUCGGGUUCUGUGAAUUUUUUGAAACUCCUUGGAAAAUUUUUUCCAACAAAUCUUUAAUACACUUAAUUGAAAAGGAUAGAAACAAACGUUUCAUUAAAAAGAAUCCGCUUUUUCUGAAGCAACAAAGUCAGUGGGGUAUUAAACUGUACUUAUGCCUUUUUUCACUUAAUGUUACCGGACUAACGUUAACUUUUAUCACAUUUUCAAAAAAUCUGCACAACAAAUCUGAAAAGUAUUUGUAGAAAAUUCUAUUAAAAAACAUCCAUUUGGCGAUCUUUCGUCUCUAGUAGACCUUUCCGUCGAUUUCCGUAAAAAAAUUAUUUUUUUUACAUUGGCGUUAGGAAGGGCAUCCAGCUGUAGAAACAUUGCCAGAUUAGACUGGAGCCUGGUGCAGCCUUCUAGCUUCCCAGAACCCCGGUCGAACCGUCCAACCCAUGCUAGCAUUGAGAACGGACGCUAAACGACGAUGACGAUGAUGAUGAUGGGCUUGCGGGAACUUUUGAAGUAAUGAGAGCGAAAGACACACAUUACUCUCUCUGUCUCUUCACACACUAACAGAAGCACUUCACUUACACAACAUACUUUCUGUCUCCCACACCCCAUCAAACACACACACACAUGUACAUCAAUGCUUCACAUGCACGGUAACUUCAAAAGAACUUCCCUCGUCAUACAAUCGCUUUCUCUUAGUUCUCUUUCGCUCUCAUUACUUCAAAAGUUCCCGCAAGCCCAUAUGUAAAGAAAAAAAAAAAUUUUUUUACGGAAAUCGACGGAAAGGUCUACUAGAGACGAAAGAUCGCCAUCCAUUUUUCUGAAUGUUACGAGAGAACAAAGUCGGUGGAGGAGGUGGGUAACAUGUAGUAGUUAUAUAUUUUUCUUUUUUUUUUUUAUUACCCACAAGGGGCUAAACAUAGAGGGGACAAACAAAGACAGACAAAGGGAUCAAGUCGAUUACAUCGACACCAGUGCGUAACUGGUAUUUAAUUAAUCGACCCCGAAAGGAUGAAAGGCAAAGUCGACCUCGGCGGAAUUUGAACUCAGAACGUAACGGCAGACGAAAUACGGCUACGCAUUUCGCCCGGCGUGCUAACGGUUCUGCCAGCUCGCCGCGUGCAGUGGCACCUUGGGCAAGUGUCUUUUGUUAUGAGCCUCGGGCCAACCAAAGCCUUGUGAGUGGAUUUGAUUGACGGAAACCGAAAGAAGUCCGUCGUAUGAAAUACGUGCGUUUUUGUGUCUGUGAUUGUACUCCAACACUGCUUGGCAACCGGUGUUGGGUGUGUUUGACAAAAGACACCGACAGACUAAGUACCGAGGUUAAUAAAAAAACAACAAGAAGAAGAACUGAACAAGUGAAGGAUGUGAGAUAAUGUGUGUCUGUGUGUCCGGAUACAUGUGGAUGAAUGGAUGGAUGGAUGGAUGGACGGACAAAUAGAUAGAUAACGAAAGAGAAAGAGACAAAGGAAGAUGCACUGUGACGAGAAUUAUAUCGAUUUCGUAUGUGAAUAAAUAGAAAACCGGGUUAUGUUUUAUCUCCAUUCCGUCUGAUGACACACAAAACUCGAUUGCAACAGUUUCUUGUCAGCAUUGCACCAUCACCAUCACCAUCAUCAUCAUCAUCUUCGUCAUGACAGAUCAUUCAUGGAUGUCGUAUUAUUUAGACGCUGUCAACUUAAUAUAAACAAUUUCAAAGAAGACAUCAGUCACAUUUAUGUGUCAUAUUUAUUAUCGUUUACUCAUCCCUAUAUUUAUAUAUAUUAUAAGUUACGUUUGUUUCGUUAAUUCUAAUCUUCAUUUACCCCGCGCUAUCUCUGACCGUAUCUUCCUUCUCUCUAUCUAUCUAUGUUUUAGUCUAUCUAUCACUAUUAAUAUAUCUAUUAUCGUUGUCAUAAUCCCUCUUUAAUCGCUUUCCCAUCUCCAUUCAUUCAUUCAUUCAUUCAUUCAUCUAACCUAUUCCUAAUCUUGCAUCAUCGUAUGUUUUAUCCGCUUCAAAUUAUUCGUCCGUCUCUCCGUCUAUUUUGAUAUAUUACCGGCAUGUUUCAUAUAUUUCCCUCUCUAUCUUUUACUUUAUCCAUUUAUUACUCCUUUCUUUUCAUUCUGUCACUUCCUCUUCAUUUCAACUCCACCCUUCUUCGUAUACUUCCAGGUUCUUACUCAUAAUAAUUUCCUCGUUAAUUUCUUCCCUUACGUCGUAUAAUUAUCCAGUUGCGGUGCUUUGCCAUUGUUCUGGUAGUUUUUCCUCUUUUUUUUUGGUUUAAUUAUUUUUCUGUAUUAUUUUACAUUGAAAAAAAAGAAAAAGAAAGAAGAAAAACGCGUUAAUCAGGGAGAACAGAUAGAAAGAAAAGUCUGGAAUAAUGAAUUUUUUCGUGUGUGCCUUUCUUUAUUCCAUUCAGUUAUUUGAACCUUAUCCUCUGGGCAGCAUCUUGCGCUUUAACCGAGGAAGCUACGACCAUUAUGCAAUUUAUGCCGGUUUAGGCUCUGUAAUUCAUUACAGCGGAGAAGCGGACGUGAAGACACAAUAUGAUGCAAAGGUCCGUCUCGAGAGUUUGAGUGCAGUGGCGGCGGGCAGCCCUGUGGCGGUGGCCAACAUCCACGACGAAGAGACCCAAUCUUUCGGCGGGUGUGACAUCGUGAGAAGGGCUCAGUCGAGGAUCGGCGAAUACAAAUACAGUUUGUGGAGCAACAAUUGUGAACAUUUCGUUAAUUGGUGCCGAUAUGGCAAACAUUUUAGUUCACAGGUGAACGACAAACUUAGAUCGGCCACCAGGUAUGUACUGAGAACUGACUUGUAGUUAUGAAGUUGAAAAGAGAAAAAAAAGGUUGUUUUUUAAAGAACUAGCAAAACUCCACAUCAAUUUUGGAAGGUUUGACUCUCACAGAACCGAAUCACCAAUCACCUCAUCAUACUUUCUCGAAGAGGCAAACUGAGAACCAUCAAUUUUACUUAUACAUACAUACAAACAAACAAACACAUACACACAUGUGUGCAUGCAUAUAUUCUCUCUUUAUUAUUUCUGUUUAUUUCUUCGCGUUCCUUUCUGUUAAAGAGCGUAGGCUCGAAACGUAAAGACUUUCUCACUUUCCCGAGCGUCAAACUACUAGACACCUGCUGUCUUCGUCUUUUGUUUUUCUGUAACUUUCAACUAUAUAUAUAUAUAUAUAUAUAUAUAUAUAUAUAUAUAUAUAUAUAUAUAUAUACACACACACACACCAUACACUCACAUGCUCAACCCCACCGUCAAAUUAACAUAAACUACUUUUUAUAAACUUUAUACCACGUUGCUGCGUCUACGUUAUAUAUAUGUAUGUAUGUAUGUAUAAUGUAUACACACAUAUUCAAACAUUACACCCAGGUUGCCUGGUGUUUAUAUAUAUAUAUAUAUGUGUGUAUGUAUGUAUGUAUAAUUCACUUGUGGGGUUAAAAAACAAUCUCUUCUAAAUCCAAACGAACAAUUCUGGAAUGGAAUUCCUUAAACAAACCCUUCUUAAAGGUCACCGAUGUGCGACCACAGCACGGUUGGUGGUAUUUUUUUUUCUUCUUUUCUCUCCUUAAAUUUACCAUUGCUGUUUCAGUGAGAGUUGAUUGAAUAUUUGAACAAUACGUCUUCAAAUGAAUUUAAGGAAGAAAAAUAUUCAUUAUCCAUUAUUCAUCGUGUAAACAAGAAUAACAAGAACGUUGUUGGUGUUUUUCUCACCGAAACCGCCCCAGUAAUUCGAUGUGUGUUUAAUUAAUGUCACUUGUAUGCUGAUUGCUGAUUGCGAUAUUAAUUGCCUGAUACAUUUGUAAGGAAUAUUAAAAAUUGCUUUCAUUAAAAAAAAACAACAACUAAAACUGAUAAAAAAAAAACAUGAGGUAUAGACUUUUAAUCAAGGACCGCCGAAAAUUCCUAAAAGUUGUUGAGGUUAGCAAUUAAUACAUGUUCCCUUCCAAAAUGCCUACGAUCUCAAAUAAUAAAAUUAUAGGCGAUCCUUCGGUAUAGGUACACAUGUGAUUGUUUACAUUUCUGAAGGUAACAGAAACCCUUUUCUCCCACCCCUAAUCCUAACCCUAACACAAACCCUGACCCUAACGCCCCCAUAUAUAAAAAAAACACUUUCUUGAAAUAUAUCCGGUACUUAUACCGAAGUUACGCCAAACUAUAUUUUUUAUGAUUUAAAAAAAGAAAAAUGUCGAUAAUUAAACGUGAAAAGAAGACUU
rnacentral:lncRNA from 1 species